AGGCAAUUGUCUAUCUAUCAAAAUGCUAAUUUGAAUUGUUUUGAGUGUUAAAUAUUCUGAUGCCUUGUACUUAAAACCAUUUAUGACUAUCUAAUGACCCAAAAUUACGUUAUCCCCACGGUUUCUUUUGUUGCCCGCGUCGUUUUGGUCUCGGCAGUUGCUAAAUAUAAAAUGCCUGAAAAUGCCUACCUAUCGGCUUGAAUGAUAUAGUACUUCUGAUCAUAGAGAGACAAUCCCAGGUCGAUGUCCGUACUCUCACGUCCGUCCGCGAGUUGUCGCGCGGUCCACCAGGGAGAGGUGGCAAGCAGACUGUCCAACUGGCUGGUACUGCAUCGUUAUAAGGGACCGCUGGUCCGAGCCGCUACCAGGGAGGAGGCUGUUGACACUCAUCAGCUCUGGUCGGGCCACUGGGGAUGAUCGGAGCAGUAUCUUCACCGGAUUGAGAGGAUAUCAAUGUCCGAGUUCGCCUAAUGUAACGACAAUGAAUGCCAAGCUGGCCGCUGCCUGGUCUGCGGUGAAGCAGUGGACACCUAAGCGCACGUGUUGCCGGAGUGCCCGUGCUUUUACGGCCCUCGGCUGCGUGCGCUGGGGAACAUCGUCGGCGCGGCCCUCGAUGUCAAGCGCGACGACGUGGUGGUGACCUUAGCCGCCGGCUACGAGGCCGAUAAGAGGCUUGUAUUGGCUACGGCGGUAGCUGUGGGGACACAACAACAACGACAUCAACAGCUGGCGGCGGAAGUGGCCCCGGAGCUACGCACCUGCGGACAGAGCUACCGCUGAUCCACAUCUCAGCUGAUGAUGCUCAACAGACGAAGACACUGAGGCGCUGGACAGCGAGUCUGUCUGUGGUUGUGCUGAAGACGGCGUCGGACGACCAUCAGUUCCGGUUGGCGAAUCUGGCCAGCUCCGACCCCGUCCAGCUGGCCGACGAGUGCUUACCAAAACAGCCGCUCGCUGCUGCCGUCGCUGCGCGCGUGCGCCAAGAUGGCCGUCCACCGCCACCGAUGCCGCCACGCGCUCGCUAAGACGCCCGUCCAUUGGUGCCACCGCCCCACGCGCGCUUUAAGUCGGCCGCCGCGGCGUAUGUGCGCCUACUUGCGCUCUGCCACCUUUGACUGCGGCUCGAGAUUCAGGUUCAAGGUUUAGGCAUACAUUCAUGUUAAUUGCCUACAUUCAUGGAAGCGAAGGUGUGGUGACAAAGAUGCCUAUGGUGGUGAAAUUCGGUGUACGCAGCUCCUGGUGAUGUUUUUUUAUUGCCCUUAGCUUGCCAUCCAAUACCUAUCAUCAUUUGAUCAUGUAUGCUGACUUGAGUGGCUGAUAUUUGAUAAUAUAUAGCGUGGGGUGUUGCAAA